rnacentral:rRNA from 1 species
AUUGAACGCUGGCGGCAUGCCUUACACAUGCAAGUCGAACGGCAGCACGGGAGCAAUCCUGGUGGCGAGUGGCGAACGGGUGAGUAAUGUAUCGGAACGUACCUUUCAGUGGGGGAUAACGUAGCGAAAGUUACGCUAAUACCGCAUAUUCUGUGAGCAGGAAAGCAGGGGAUCGCAAGACCUUGCGCUGAUUGAGCGGCCGAUAUCAGAUUAGCUAGUUGGUGAGGUAAAGGCUCACCAAGGCGACGAUCUGUAGCGGGUCUGAGAGGAUGAUCCGCCACACUGGAACUGAGACACGGUCCAGACUCCUACGGGAGGCAGCAGUGGGGAAUUUUGGACAAUGGGCGCAAGCCUGAUCCAGCCAUGCCGCGUGUGUGAAGAAGGCCUCGG